GACGAACGCUGGCGGCGUGCUUAACACAUGCAAGUCGAGCGAUGAGGCUUCUUCGGAAGUGGAUUAGCGGCGGACGGGUGAGUAACACGUGGGCAACCUGCCUUGUAGAGGGGGAUAGCCUUCCGAAAGGAAGAUUAAUACCGCAUAACAUAGCGAACCCGCAUGGGUUUGCUAUCAAAGAUUUAUCGCUACAAGAUGGGCCCGCGUCGCAUUAGCUAGUUGGUGAGGUAACGGCUCACCAAGGCCACGAUGCGUAGCCGACCUGAGAGGGUGAUCGGGCACAUUGGAAAUAAGACACGGUCCAGACUCCUCCGGGAGGCAGCAGUGAGGAAUCUUGCACAAUGGGCGAAAGCCUGAUGCAGCAACGCCGCGUGAGUGAUGAAGGUCUUCGGAUUGUAAAGCUCUUUGAUUAGGGACGAUAAUGACGGUACCUAAAGAACAAGCGACGGCAAACUACGUGCCAGCCGCCGCGGUAA
rnacentral:rRNA from 1 species